UCAAGACGAUACCCUUACGUCUGUUCACUGACAGUGGGAAGAUUGCAAACAAAAUGAAGCAUUUCGUAGAUUACAGGUUCGAGCUGUUGGAAAAGUAUAACGAGGAGAGGCAGUUGACCCGUGUCUCAUCAACGCGGGUUUCUACCGACCCAUCGUCCGUCGCUACUGGCUUCUCCACACUUCCCUUGACGUCACGGUGACCGGCGACGAGCGUCGGGUCAGCACGUUGGAAGAUCGUCUGGAAGGAAGGUGUUCAGCAUUGUACAUUUUGAUGAGAAGGACGAAGUUUCUGUUGUUCCAUCAACCUGGCUGGGCAGAAACAAAGUUUUAUGGCCACCUUACAAGAACUCCAAGAAAGUAGCCGUCGCAAUUAAAGCAUGCGAAAAUCCAUCAAGCAACUGGUCGCAGCACAGCUGCCGGGUACUUUGUGAAUGUGACUCAUAUGAAACAGCAAGGCAGAGAGAGCAAAAAGCUGCCAUGACAUCAGAUUUGACAACUGAUGAUGACAUGUGUGAACCCAAAAGGAAGCGGUGGCGCCCACAGCGAUUUGAGUCCUCUGAUGAGGAGAGCGCAUCAAUCAUAGGGGAUUCUUCUUGUUUUGUGAACAAGCCAGAAUUGCGUGUUUCACGUUCGCAGGCAACGUCACAGUGUAUUCGUCGCCCAAGGCCUCUCUGCUUGUCCACUUCCCGCGUGCAAGGGGCAGCUUCAACCUCAGAGCCAUCGCCAAAAUAUUCUACUGUGUCUGCUGAAUCCCAGCAACAAGAAAUGCAGAAGUCACGAAAAUCCAGUUGCUUUGUACUGCUGCCAAAUCAUUGAGAUGCUGACUCCAAAGGUUUCUUCCCAGGGGUUAUACCUUUCAAGAAUUGGUGGAUCAUCGCCCCAGGACUGCUUACGGCACAUUAUGCGUCGCUGCAUGAAUGACAGCUUCGAUCAAGGGUUCUGCCUCACCGGCAGAAAAGGAAAACGUCCAUUUCUCGGACUGCGGCUGUAACUCUUAAGUAUUUAAAGUUACUGUUUCAG